rnacentral:rRNA from 1 species
UGGGGGAUAUUGCACAAUGGGCGAAAGCCUGAUGCAGCGACGCCGCGUGGGGGAUGAAGGCCUUCGGGUUGUAAACUUCUUUUGCUCUGAACAAGGCAUGCCUUUGGGGUGUGUUGAGUGUAGGGGUUGAUUAGCGCCGGCUAACUACGUGCCAGCAGCCGCGGUAAUACGUAGGGCGCGAGCGUUGUCCGGAAUUAUUGGGCGUAAAGGGCUUGUAGGUGGCUGGUUGCGUCUGUCGUGAAAGCUCAUGGCUUAACUGUGGGUUUGCGGUGGGUAGGGGCUGGCUUGAGUGCAGUAGGGGAGGCUGGAAUUCCUGGUGUAGCGGUGGAAUGCGCAGAUAUCAGGAGGAAUACCGGUGGCGAAGGCGGGUCUCUGGGCUGUUACUGACGCUGAGGAGCGAAAGCGUGGGGAGCGAACAGG